GCUUGCUCUCCUUUCUAUAUCUCUUCACGCUACACUUCGUCAUGGCCACCACGGUCAAGAAGAAUGACGUCCCGAUCGACGUCACAUGGGAGGAUCAGCGCAACAUCUGCGUCUUCUCCCGGUUGCACCGACGUGUGCAGACGCUGAAUCGCCGCCUGAAGCUUCUGAGAGAUGACAUUGAGAAGCUCGACGACGCCAGCACCGAGGCCAUGAUCUGCGACGAGGUAAAGUACGUCUUUGGUGAGGCUUUUGUGGACGUCGAGUGCGAUCAGGCCGUAGACCUACUCGAUGAGGAGAAGCAGCGCAUUGAGUCGGAGAAGGAAGAGGUAGAGGCGGAGCUGAAGGAUCUGGACGUGGCCCUGACGGAGCUCAAGGCGCAGCUCUACGCCAAGUUUGGCUCGCAGAUUUACCUCGAGGAAAAGUAGUCGAGGUUGGUAACCCAGCGGCAGGGCCUCACUGCAUGAAUGCUGUUGGCGAAGGUCUAUGCAUAGGAUCAGCGAGAGAGAGAACAGGAAGCUCUAAAGAGAGGUGAAGAUGAAGGCAAAAAAAAGCUGUGGCACCCAUGAAGAAUGAGGAUGUCUGCAUUGUGCCCGCCCCCUUCCCCUCCCCGCCGUCAUCACCUUGUGCUGUGACCUAUUCUUCUCCAUCUAUCUCCGAUUACCCCUCUCGUUCGAAGGCAUAGGCGGCUGUAAACUCAUACCCUCUCCGUGUGUGCAUGCAUGCGUCAUCGCGGAGCGGCCUUUUCUCGUCGUCGACAUGGACCCCCCUCCUACCAGUGCCUGCGUGAGUGAACGACGGAUGAAAGUUUGCACGUAGAGUCAUGGAUUCGUUGGCCUCGUGCACGUGUAUGUGUGAGCUUGCUGUGACUGUGCGUGCAUGGAAGUCGUCGAUGUACGGACGGGGUGCAACUCUCUCUCUCUCUCUCGCCCUCCGUAUCUCCCUCGAAGAAGAACAAACAAGAAAAGAGGAAAUAUGCAAGAGGAAGUCGCCGGUCAAGCAGAGGCGCUUUCCUGUGCGAGUGCGUGGGAGUGUGUGUGUGUGUGCUUAUGCACCAAAGGGCCGUACGCGGCUUUCGCGUCCCCUCGCACACGCUUGCUGGAAUGCAUAAGUGGGAGAGAGGAUGCCUUGGUGCUGGCACGGCAGUAGUGGUCGGGGAGCAGCAGGAGAAACGCGGUAAGGGCGAGGUGGCGAGGAGGCGGUGCGAACGCACGCCCAGGAAACAGCAAAGAAAAGAACGGGCGAUGAGGCAGAGCGAUGUGGCAAGCAGAGCAACGAAAAGGGCGCAGCCGCUCUCCCUCUCGCUCGUUUUUGGUCGCUGCUUUUAUGUGACGUGCUUUGCCGUAUAUCGUGAGGGGUUACUCCCCCCCCCCCACACACACACACCGCCACCUCCAGUCGCCUCUCCCUUCUUUCCAGCCGCACUGCAUCCUCCAAAAUUAUGCGGGUAGGUCACCAUGUGCAACAUGCGACCUUACGAAGAUCACUGUGGUGCCCGCCCAUCUCUCUCUGCCGUUUUCCUUUUUUUGUUAUGGUCCUGCUACUGCCCAAUCCCUUCCCUUCUCUCUGCCCCCCUCUUACCAUGUGCGUGUGUGCGUGUGUGUGCUCUCGCGCCUGAUGGGCCGCACCUUGAGCGAAUGGAACGCGCUCUCCUGUCUUGUCUGCGCCGCUUCCUCUCAUUCGUUCUUUAG
rnacentral:misc_RNA from 1 species